rnacentral:misc_RNA from 1 species
GAACAAGCUCUAUUCUACAAACUAUACUAGUAAAUAGUAAUAUGAUAAUCAGAAAGCAAUUUGCAACAAGAACAAAGCACAACUCUUAACCAUGUGAUCUUUAUCAAUAUGUAUAUGCAUCAGGAAGUAUCUAAUAAUGGCCACUUCUAGAAUGGAUUUGCAAAUUUAAAACAUUGACAAAUCAGAACUAGGGGUAAAAAUUGAAACAUUGGU